GGAUGCCGAUUAUACCAGCACUAAAACAUC
rnacentral:rRNA from 1 species